rnacentral:sRNA from 1 species
AAGUAAUGAUCAUUGCUGUCCCCCCCAAAAAUAAUCAAUGGAAAAAGUCUUAUGUCUGAAAAUCAUCACAACAGUUUAUGCACAACUAGUUGGUAAAUAAAUGUUCAUGUAAUUAAAAUUAAAUUUGCUAAAAACAGUUUCUAAUACUGUAAAUUCCUAAUUAAACGUGAGAAAUUAAUAUCCACAUAAAAUCGCAAUAAGCACAUCUUACAGAUUUUAAAAUCUUGCUUUAAUUUUACUACAGAUGUAAACUUUUUGGAAUUAUGAUAAAAAUUGGGCAUUCCAAUUUUACAUUCUCACGAUUUGAUGCUAAACCGUUGAAUCGCGGUACUGUAUUAAGUACUCGCGUAAAAUAAGGAAACUACAGUAUUACAUGCAAAUUGCUGGUGCAUUCAGUGGAAUGGAACUCCAAAAUAUAUGUUUGAUAACUACAUUGUUCUUGCAUGAGGAUGAUGGUAUGUUGGAAGGAAGAUGGCUUAAAAUCAUACAUGUAUCACAAAUAAAUCAAUGUGUCAUUGAAAUGUUAUUUACGUAAUUGUUGAUGAAAUCAUUCAAAUAAAGUUACUAAUUGUUAUA